CCUACGGGAGGCAGCAGUGGGGAAUAUUGGUCAAUGGACGAGAGUCUGAACCAGCAACGUAGCGUGAAGGAUGACUGCCCUAUGGGUUGUACACUUCUUUUAUAUGGAAAUAGAAUGUUGCACUUGUCGAAUAUUCUAUGUCCCAUAUGGUUCAGGCUGCGCUAAUUCCGUGUCAGGAGCCACGGUAAUACGGAUGGUCCGGGCGUUAUCCGGAUUUAUUGGGUUUAAGGGGAGCGUAGGUGGAUCGUUAAGUCAGGUGUGAAAGUUUGCGGCUCAACCGUAAGAUUGCAGUUGAAACUGGGAGGCUUGAGUACAGUAGAGGUGGGCGGAAUUCGUGGUGUAGCGGUGAAAUGCUUAGAUAUCACGAAGAACUCCGAUGGCGAAGGCAGCUCACUGGACUGCAACUGACACUGAGGCUCGAAAGUGUGGGUAGCAAACAGGAUUAGAUACCCUUGUAGUC
rnacentral:rRNA from 1 species